CGCGUAUCCACACUUUUCACACGCGACGCCGGAGAGACAGAGCGCGCGCGCGCCCGAAAGAUGUCGACGUGCGCGGCGGACCUGGCGCCGCUGCUCGGCCCGGCGGCGGCGAACGCCACGGACUACCUGUGCGGGCAGUUCGCGGACACGGCCUCCGCGGUGGACGCCACGUACCUGCUCUUCUCGGCCUACCUCGUGUUCGCCAUGCAGCUCGGCUUCGCCAUGCUGUGCGCCGGCUCCGUCCGCGCCAAGAACACCAUGAACAUCAUGCUCACCAACGUGCUCGACGCCGCCGCGGGGGCGCUCUUCUACUACCUCUUCGGCUUCGCCUUCGCCUUCGGCACGCCCUCCAACGGCUUCAUCGGCAAGCAGUUCUUCGGGCUCAAGCACCUGCCCAGGACCGGCUUCGACUACGACUUCUUCCUCUACCAGUGGGCCUUCGCCAUCGCCGCCGCGGGCAUCACGUCGGGCUCCAUCGCCGAGCGGACCCAGUUCGUCGCCUACCUCAUCUACUCCGCGUUCCUGACGGGGUUCGUCUACCCCGUGGUGUCGCACUGGUUCUGGUCCGCCGACGGCUGGGCCGGCGCCAGCCGCACGUCCGGCCCGCUGCUCUUCGGGUCCGGCGUCAUCGACUUCGCCGGCUCCGGCGUCGUCCACAUGGUCGGCGGCAUCGCGGGGCUGUGGGGCGCGCUCAUCGAGGGCCCCCGCAUCGGGCGCUUCGACCACGCCGGCCGCUCCGUGGCGCUCAAGGGCCACAGCGCGUCGCUCGUGGUGCUCGGCACCUUCCUGCUGUGGUUCGGCUGGUACGGGUUCAACCCCGGGUCCUUCACCACCAUCCUCAAGUCGUACGGCCCCGCCGGGACCGUCCACGGGCAGUGGUCGGCCGUGGGCCGCACCGCCGUCACCACCACCCUCGCCGGCAGCGUCGCCGCGCUCACCACGCUGUUCGGGAAGCGGCUCCAGACGGGCCACUGGAACGUGGUGGACGUCUGCAACGGCCUCCUCGGCGGGUUCGCGGCCAUCACGGCCGGGUGCAGCGUGGUGGAGCCGUGGGCGGCCGUCAUCUGCGGGUUCGUGUCCGCGUGGGUGCUCAUCGGCGCCAACGCCCUCGCGGCGCGCUUCAGGUUCGACGACCCGCUGGAGGCGGCGCAGCUGCACGGCGGGUGUGGCGCCUGGGGCGUCCUCUUCACGGGGCUCUUCGCGAGGCGAAAGUACGUGGAGGAGAUCUACGGCGCCGGGAGGCCCUACGGGCUGUUCAUGGGCGGCGGCGGGAAGCUCCUCGCCGCGCAGAUCAUCCAGAUCCUGGUGAUCGCCGGGUGGGUGAGCUGCACCAUGGGCCCGCUCUUCUACGCGCUCAAGAAGCUGGGCCUGCUGCGCAUCUCGGCCGACGACGAGAUGUCCGGCAUGGACCUGACCCGGCACGGCGGCUUCGCCUACGUCUACCACGACGAGGACCCUGGCGACAAGGCCGGGGUUGGUGGGUUCAUGCUCAAGUCCGCGCAGAACCGUGUCGAGCCGGCGGCGGCGGUGGCGGCGGCGACCAGCAGCCAGGUGUAAAAAAAAAAUCAGGAGCAAAUUGAAACCGAGCUGAAGUUACGUGCUUGCCUUUUUCAGUAUGUUGUCGCGUAUCACGUUUGAGGUGGAUCGUAUCUGCCGGUCAGUACGCAGUGUUUGGGCAAAUACUUGGCUACUUGGGAGUCGCAAGAAAUUGUGUAAAUUAUAUAGAGGAGGAUGGCGACGAAGCACGCAUGUGUUACGUAGUUGGGGUUUGUGUGCACAUGGUGGUGGGCAGGGGCUAGGAGAGGGUUUAUCUUUAGGUUAUUUUCGUAGUGGAAUGAAUCUUAUGAUCGGAUAUCCAUCGUCGGAAGGUGUGGCGGGCUGCUGGUCAAGAUAGGUGGCUUCUAUGACUAUGAGGGUUGAAACAACAAGUGGACGAUUCUGUCCUGUGGUCACUGCUCAUCAUCCAAUCUAGCGGCUUUGACGGUCGUGCCUUUUUAGUAUCAAUAA
rnacentral:misc_RNA from 1 species